UACGUAGGCAGCGAGCGUUGUUCGGAGUUACUGGGCGUAAAGGGUGCGUAGGCGGUUGUUUAAGUUUGGUGUGAAAUCUCCCGGCUCAACUGGGAGGGUGCGCCGAAUACUGAAUGACUAGAGUGCGGGAGAGGAUAGUGGAAUUCCUGGUGUAGCGGUGAAAUGCGCAGAUAUCAGGAGGAACACCCGUAGCGAAGGCGGCACUCUGGGCCGAUACUGACACUGAGGAGCGAAAGCGUGGGGAGCGAACAGG
rnacentral:rRNA from 1 species